rnacentral:rRNA from 1 species
UACGGGGGGGGCAAGCGUUGUUCGGAAUUACUGGGCGUAAAGGGUUCGUAGGUGGCCAACUAAGUCAUACGUGAAAUCCCUCAGCUUAACUGGGGAACUGCGUCUGAUACUGGUUGGCUUGAGUGCAGGAGAGGAACGCGGAAUUCCAGGUGUAGCGGUGAAAUGCGUAGAUAUCUGGAGGAACACCGGUGGCGAAGGCGGCGUUCUGGACUGCAACUGACACUGAGGAACGAAAGCCAGGGGAGCAAACAGG